CCUACGGGUGGCUGCAGUGAGGAAUAUUGGUCAAUGGACGGAAGUCUGAACCAGCCAUGCCGCGUGCAGGAUGACGGCUCUAUGAGUUGUAAACUGCUUUUGUACAAGGGUAAACCUCAUUACGUGUAGUCAGCUGAAAGUACUGUACGAAUAAGGAUCGGCUAACUCCGUGCCAGCAGCCGCGGUAAUACGGAGGAUCCGAGCGUUAUCCGGAUUUAUUGGGUUUAAAGGGUGCGUAGGCGGAUUGAUAAGUUAGAGGUGAAAUGUCCGGGCUUAACUCGGGAAUUGCAUCUAAAACUGGUGAUCUAGAGAGUGGAUGCGGUAGGCGGAAUGUAUGGUGUAGCGGUGAAAUGCUUAGAGAUCAUAAAGAACACCGAUUGCGAAGGCAGCUUGCCAAAAUAUAUCUGACGUUGAGGCACGAAAGCGUGGGGAGCAAACAGGAUUAGAUACCCCUGUAGUC
rnacentral:rRNA from 1 species